rnacentral:rRNA from 1 species
AUUGAACGCUGGCGGCAGGCCUAACACAUGCAAGUCGAACGGUAACAGGAAGCAGCUUGCUGCUUUGCUGACGAGUGGCGGACGGGUGAGUAAUGUCUGGGAAACUGCCCGAUGGAGGGGGAUAACUACUGGAAACGGUAGCUAAUACCGCAUAACGUCUCAAGACCAAAGAGGGGGACCUUAGGGCCUCUUGCCAUCGGAGGUGCCCAGAUGGGAUUAGCUAGUAGGUGGGGUAACGGCUCACCUAGGCGACGAUCCCUAGCUGGUCUGAGAGGAUGACCAGCCACACUGGAACUGAGACACGGUCCAGACUCCUACGGGAGGCCGCAGUGGGGAAUAUUGCACAAAGGGCGCAAGCAUGAUGCAGCCAUGCCGCGUGUAUGAAGAAGGCCUUCGGGUUGUAAAGUACUUUCAGCGGGGAGGAAGGGAGUAAAGUUAAUACCUUUGCUCAUUGACGUUAACCGCAGAAGAAGCACCGGCUAACUCCGUG